GAUGAACGCUGGCGGCGUGCCUAAUACAUGCAAGUCGAGCGAACAGACGAGGAGCUUGCUCCUCUGACGUUAGCGGCGGACGGGUGAGUAACACGUGGAUAACCUACCUAUAAGACUGGGAUAACUUCGGGAAACCGGAGCUAAUACCGGAUAAUAUAUUGAACCGCAUGGUUCAAUAGUGAAAGACGGUUUUGCUGUCACUUAUAGAUGGAUCCGCGCCGCAUUAGCUAGUUGGUAAGGUAACGGCUUACCAAGGCAACGAUGCGUAGCCGACCUGAGAGGGGGCCGGGCCACAGGGGAACGGAGCACGGCUCCACACCCCGACGGGGGGAGGAGGAGGGGAACCUCCCGAAUGGGGGAAAGGCCGGCAGGAGCAACCCGGGGUGAGGGAUAAAGUUCUUGGGACGUAAAAACUCUUUUAUGGGGAAAAAAAAAUUGUGAAAGAAACAAGGCCCUUUUGAAGGGAACCAAACAAAAAGCCCCGGGCAAACUCCGGC
rnacentral:rRNA from 1 species